rnacentral:rRNA from 1 species
UACAGAGGUCUCGAGCGUUAGGCGGAAUCACUGGGCUUAAAGCGUGUGUAGGCGGGUCGUUAAGUGCCUUGUGAAAUCCCAUGGCUCAACCAUGGAACUGCUGGGCAUACUGGCGAUCUUGUGCCACCUAGGGGCGAGCGGAACAGAUGGUGGAGCGGUGAAAAUGCGUAGAUAUCAUCUGGAACGCCAAUGGUGAAAACAGCUCGCUGGGGGGUGUGCAGACGCUGAGACACGAAAGCCAGGGGAGCGAACGGGG